AUGCCGGGAACCGGAGGCGCGACCGUCCUGGACGACCUUCCAGAGUGGAUCGUUGUCGAAGAGAUCCUCGUCCGUUUGCCGCCCAAGGACAUCCUCCGCUGCCGCGCCGUCCGCAGGUGGUGGCACACUGCCACCUCCACCGACAAGUUCAUGCUGGACCACCACCGCCGCCAGCCCUUGCUCCCGAUCCUCAGCCACGUCGUCGUUCCGCAGAAAGCCCGCCUCCUGUUUUCCUUUGAUGCCGGUGCAGGCCAGCAGAAACUCUGCCCUGUCGUCCGGACCUAUGACUACGGUAAACUGCAGGCCGCCUGUGAUGGCCUCCUCGUUGUCUCCCACGGAUCCAUGACGGAUAAGUUCAUCUGCAACCCUGUCACCCGCAAGUCUGCCCGCCUAGCAAAGCCUCAGGCCCAACGGGGUUUUUACCACCAGAUUAUCGGCUUCUACCGGCACCAACCAUCCAGAGGAGAAUUCCGAGUGCUAUGGAUCUCUAGGCCGACGACCUACAAUUCAUACGACACAAAUUACAGAACUUUCUACUACGUCAUAGUGGUGGGAUCCGAUAAUACAAGAUGCAUCAGACAAGGAUGCAUCCCACAACCAACAUCCUCGCCGCCUUCCUUGGAUCUGGCUUUACGCAGGGGCCUGCCUGAUUCGUCCCAGUAUCCACCAGUCCACCACCGUGGCGGCCUGCACUGGAGACUUAGAAGAUACCACGGCUCCGAUGCGGACUACAUAAUGGUGUUCAACACAGCAGCUGAAACAUUUCGAUUGAUGUGUCGUCCUGCCCGAUUGGGCAACUGCUUACAUGAGUCAUUGCUGGAGAUGGAUGACACUCUUGCUUUGUGCAGCAUCUGCAGUGACAAACACACCAUAGACUUUUGGGUGCUACAGGACUACGAUGCUGAAACAUGGUCUUUCAAGCAUCGGAUUAAUUUGAUUGGGGUGGAUCCAUCAGCGCUUGUUGAUCCAGAGGUCAUAAUAGCCCCUAGUAUGGCUGUUCUCAGUGGGGGUGAGAUGCUGAUUCGGUUUACUCAUAGGGGUGUGUUGCAUUUUGAUGUUGAUGGCAAGUUUUUAGGAUAUGUGAAAAGCCAAGAUGGCCAAGAAAUCAAUUUGUGGGUUACCGGGCAUUACCUCCAGGAGAGCAUUAUUCCCGGUCCACUGUUCCAUGAGAUGAGAGAAGAUGAUGGUGCGAACCAGGAGCCUCCAUUUUUUGUAGGACUGUAG
rnacentral:rRNA from 1 species